rnacentral:lncRNA from 1 species
UGGUAAAUUCUGAUAUAGAACUGUCAACUCUGGUGUCGAGUUACAAACUAAGUAAUACUGGUAGCGUAGCUGGCAAAAUGGUUAAUGCAAUGGUAGCGUAGCAGGCAAAACAGUUAAGGCACUGGUCUAAAUAUGGUAGCACAGAAACUCAUUAACAUUGACUUACUAAUUACAUGUACAACAGAUAACAAGAUUAAUAAAGCUUCACAAUUUAUUAUAUACAAAACAUUCAAUACUAUUCCAAGUAUAAAUCACAUGAAAAACCACCAGA